rnacentral:rRNA from 1 species
AACGACUCUCGGCAACGGAUAUCUCGGCUCUCGCAUCGAUGAAGAACGUAGCGAAAUGCGAUACUUGGUGUGAAUUGCAGAAUCCCGUGAACCAUCGAGUCUUUGAACGCAAGUUGCGCCCUAAGCCUUCCGGCCGAGGGCACGUCUGCCUGGGUGUCACA